UCUGCGAUAAGCGUCGGUAAGGUGAUAUGAACCGUUAUAACCGGCGAUUUCCGAAUGGGGAAACCCAGUGUGAUUCGUCACACUAUCAUUAACUGAAUCCAUAGGUUAAUGAGGCGAACCGGGGGAACUGAAACAUCUAAGUACCCCGAGGAAAAGAAAUCAACCGAGAUUCCCCCAGUAGCGGCGAGCGAACGGGGAGGAGCCCAGAGCCUGAAUCAGUGUGUGUGUUAGUGGAAGCGUCUGGAAAGGCGCGCGAUACAGGGUGACAGCCCCGUACACAAAAAUGCACAUGCUGUGAGCUCGAUGAGUAGGGCGGGACACGUGGUAUCCUGUCUGAAUAUGGGGGGACCAUCCUCCAAGGCUAAAUACUCCUGACUGACCGAUAGUGAACCAGUACCGUGAGGGAAAGGCGAAAAGAACCCCGGCGAGGGGAGUGAAAAAGAACCUGAAACCGUGUACGUACAAGCAGUGGGAGCACGCUUAGGCGUGUGACUGCGUACCUUUUGUAUAAUGGGUCAGCGACUUAUAUUCUGUAGCAAGGUUAACCGAAUAGGGGAGCCGAAGGGAAACCGAGUCUUAACUGGGCGUUAAGUUGCAGGGUAUAGACCCGAAACCCGGUGAUCUAGCCAUGGGCAGGUUGAAGGUUGGGUAACACUAACUGGAGGACCGAACCGACUAAUGUUGAAAAAUUAGCGGAUGACUUGUGGCUGGGGGUGAAAGGCCAAUCAAACCGGGAGAUAGCUGGUUCUCCCCGAAAGCUAUUUAGGUAGCGCCUCGUGAAUUCAUCUCCGGGGGUAGAGCACUGUUUCGGCAAGGGGGUCAUCCCGACUUACCAACCCGAUGCAAACUGCGAAUACCGGAGAAUGUUAUCACGGGAGACACACGGCGGGUGCUAACGUCCGUCGUGAAGAGGGAAACAACCCAGACCGCCAGCUAAGGUCCCAAAGUCAUGGUUAAGUGGGAAACGAUGUGGGAAGGCCCAGACAGCCAGGAUGUUGGCUUAGAAGCAGCCAUCAUUUAAAGAAAGCGUAAUAGCUCACUGGUCGAGUCGGCCUGCGCGGAAGAUGUAACGGGGCUAAACCAUG
rnacentral:rRNA from 1 species